rnacentral:rRNA from 1 species
CCACAAGCGGCGGAGCAUGCGGCUUAAUUCGAUGCAACCCGAAGAACCUUACCUGGGCUUGACAUCAUGGGAAAAGCCGUAGAGAUACGGUGUGCAUUAGCGUCCAUGACAGGUGGUGCAUGGCUGUCGUCAGCUCGUGUCGUGAGAUGUUGGGUUAAGUCCCGCAACGAGCGCAACCCUUGUCCUAUGUUGCCAGCGGUUCGGCCGGGGACUCAUAGGAGACUGCCGGGGACAACUCGGAGGAAGGUGAGGACGACGUCAAGUCAUCAUGCCCCUUAUGUCCAGGGCUGCACGCAUGCUACAAUGGCCGGUACAACGGGCUGCGAUCCCGCGAGGGUGAGCGAAUCCCUUAAAGCCGGCCUCAGUUCGGAUUGGAGUCUGCAACUCGACUCCAUGAAGUCGGAGUCGCUAGUAAUCGCGGAUCAGCAAAGCCGCGGUGAAUGCGUUCUCGGGGAUU